ACACUCCUGCGGGAGGCAGCAGUGGGGAAUUUUGGACAAUGGGCGAAAGCCUGAUCCAGCAAUGCCGCGUGAGUGAAGAAGGCCUUCGGGUUGUAAAGCUCUUUUGUCAGGGAAGAAACGGUGAGAGCUAAUAUCUCUUGCUAAUGACGGUACCUGAAGAAUAAGCACCGGCUAACUACGUGCCAGCAGCCGCGGUAAUACGUAGGGUGCAAGCGUUAAUCGGAAUUACUGGGCGUAAAGCGUGCGCAGGCGGUUUUGUAAGUCUGAUGUGAAAUCCCCGGGCUCAACCUGGGAAUUGCAUUGGAGACUGCAAGGCUAGAAUCUGGCAGAGGGGGGUAGAAUUCCACGUGUAGCAGUGAAAUGCGUAGAUAUGUGGAGGAACACCGAUGGCGAAGGCAGCCCCCUGGGUCAAGAUUGACGCUCAUGCACGAAAGCGUGGGGAGCAAACAGGAUUAGAUACCCUUGUAGUCC
rnacentral:rRNA from 1 species